ACAUAAGUAUACAUAUGUGUGUGUCUCGAUUAUGUUUACGUUUCUGGUUUAUAACCGCCGAAAUCGAAACCGGUACAAAAGAGUUGCGUGAAAGCCAAAAUGGGACACUAUGUUACGAAAGUGCUGUGGAAAUAAGAGUCGAUAAAUUCAUUCGCAUACAACGUGUGCAUUGUGCAUACAGUGUGUUGAGUAUUCUCUGAUAAAUCCAGAGGCGGCGCAUUGAGAAGUCGAGAACUCGUGCUUUUCUGUUGUUAGCCCGCUGAUUCAGUCUCUCAGACUCGUUAUUGAACUCUGGUGAUGUCAUCGCCGACGCCUUCUGUUCAGCUUCCAUUCCAGCAACUGGACGGUUAGCUUUCGGUGCGAAACUCCUCGGUUCUGAGAAGCAGAAAUAAAAAUUUGCUGGGAUUUGCAAGGAAAAUAAAAAAAUUCGUAACAGUCAAAAAUGUUUAUCUGAGUUCCCGAGAGGAUUUCCGCUAAUUCAAAAAAGACUAACAUUUCCUUAGUUACAUUUGAAGUUCCGGCUAUGCUAAAAAAAUGUUAUUAUCUAUUCAUAUUAUAAUAAAACAGGAAGAUGUAUACAAAUAUUUUGAUAUGUAUUUAUAUAAAUACAUAAAAUAACUUAAUAGGUUCACCAAUAUGGAUCAAUUUAGAACUUAUUGAAGAGUUAUAAUUAUGGUAUUUUAAAAUAAUUUCAAAUCCCUUGCUUCAAAAUUGAGUACGUAAACACUUUCUGGUUAGAAAUGAUAAAUAGAUACGAUUUCAUUUAUCAUAUCUGUGUAAUGUUAAACUCUUAUAAACACGAUUGCAGGUUCGCGCUCAGCGCAUUUUUGAAGUAGAGUUUUUGGGCUCAAAUGGGCUUUGAGCACUCCCACGAACACACACGUGAUAGCCUUGCCGGACAAAAACCCUGUAAACUGCGGUUAAAAUAAUAAUUAAGGAAAUGAUGUUAUACUCAUCGUAAAUUUUUGAAUACUUUGCAUUCGCAAAGGUGCCUGCAAAAACACGGGCAAUGUGAGUCACUAACGUGAAGCAACAAACCGAAAAGCGAAACGAAUUAUAAAUAUAAAAUGAUACAGCUGCGGUCAAAAUGUUAUCAACAAUGCUGAAAAAUGCCACAACAUAAAAUUUUAUAAACGGAGUAUUACCAGCAAUUAUUAUCUAUUACUCUUUUUGGCUAAUGUUGGUGAAGUAUGCUGAAGUAGGCUUAAUAGUUUGGAGUAUAAGUAAAGACCUUUUGAUUUGCCCGCACCUGUGGCCCAAACAUACUUGUACAUAAGUAGGUAAAUGAGCAGAAAGAACCAAAGCGGGGACCUACAUAAAAACUUGUUGCUCUAGAGAAAGAAGAGCGAUAAAACAAAGGCAACAGCAAUCAACUGGUUGGCAGAGCCGAAGUUUGUAGUACAUAUACGCGGUCUACACUUACAGCGAGCCGUGUUGAUAUUUAUCUGGCCCGAUCGAGUAUAUAGCCGAGUACAUAGCACACUUGACAGACAAGCCAAAUAAAUUAACAAGCCGCUUUCAGAGCUCGCCGAGAACCACUACAGCUAAAAGUGAAAAAGCUGCCGCCGCCACGCUUGAAAAACAGCAGCGACAAACAAAAUGGCAGAACAACAGUUCGCAGUUUGUCAGAAAAAUGUUGAGAAAAACCACUCGCGAUUACUGUCAGAAUGAUAAAACGUUUCUUUCCACUAUCCCAAGAAAAUUGCAUUAUUCACAUUGAAAGUUUAGUAAAGUAUAAGUUAUUGAAGUACUCCCCAGUCUGUGUGAGCGGGUUUUCCCAGUUCCUUGGCAAAAAGUGGGCUAGAACAUAUGACAAACCUGUAUUGCCAUAAUUAGCGCAACAAGUCAGUCACAGCUGCUGCGCUGGCAAAAGGGCGUGCAGUGCCGGCCAUGAGUGUAAGGCCGACUGGUAUUGAAUGACCUGCAUUCAGCUCGUCGAUAGCCGUUUCCUGUGCCACAAGGCGUGGUGCAAACAACUUCUGGAGUAAAUAUUUACUUAUCCGUUUAGCCAAAGCCAAACAGAAUAUCGAAAAUCGCACCGAAUGUUUUCCGAUGACACGUGUCAAUUGUUGAGUUUCAGCUUUUCUAAGGAAUGUACUUUAUUGGAGUGGUAUUGGGAAAGUGAUUCAGAUUCUAGGGUACGAGACUUGUACCAAAGUAAUAAUUGUAUGCAGACUAAGGUAGAGGCUGAUGAUCUGCUAUUAGCCACCAUAUAAUGUAGCUAAGAUAGUUCUUCGCUUGAAUUUUCUCUUGGGUGCACAAGGUUUUAUAUCCAGAUUUCUGUGAAACAUCAAAAAAAAUCCCUUUAAAUGCAAAAGGCUUUGAGAUAGUGUAUAUAUCUAUUCAUCAGUGUUCGAUGCAGCGUGACAUAUAUAUCCAUUGCAUGACUACGCCAAUUAAAAUGUACACUUUAAUCUUGCAUUUGAGCAUUCCCAUCACGCAUAUGUCCUGUUGCUCAUCGGCUAGCCUAAAACUGUUGUGCCCCCCACCUACCUAAGCACACUCACUUCAAGUUUACUCGUUCGAUUCGAGGAUGCAGUCAGUUUGGCGCCAAUCGAGCCAUUCACAUGGUUGGGUGUGGUUCCGCACAUUAAUAAAUAUAUAUCUAUCUUUUUAUUGCGGUACGCAAAACUCUCAA